AUGUGACCUCAAAUCAGGUAGGACUACCCGCUGAACUUAAGCAUAUCAAUAAGCGGAGGAAAAGAAACUAACAAGGAUUCCCCUAGUAACUGCGAGUGAAGCGGGAAAAGCUCAAAUUUAAAAUCUGGCAGUCUUUUGGCUGUCCGAGUUGUAAUCUAGAGAAGUGCUAUCCGCGCUGGACCGUGUA
rnacentral:rRNA from 1 species